GCCGUUUGCAAACCAUAAUAAGAGACAAUGUUUCGUGUUUUUUUCUCAACAUUUUCAAUAAAAUGUAAUCGACGGAUUUAAUAUGUAAUUAAUUUAAGCAUCCGUUCUUUCAGUACAAUUCUCGCCGAGUAGAUUGAAUUGGCCAAACCGCAGUGUUAAUGAACUUUUAAUUGGUAUUAAUUAUGUUUACAUUGUUUGGCGGUUGUCUAAUGUUUUCAAAAUUCGGUAAUGUGAAGUGAUUAGAUUAUUUGGAAAAAUGAUACAUAUUUACGAUAAAUAUGUAUCGUGUGUGGUUUUCGCGUGUUACUUUCAUGUAUUUUAACUCGAAAUCACCCAACAUGCGAUUAUGAUAGAGAAACAGACACUAUCAUUGUAUCGUUUGUGAUGUGAGAUUUCACAUGAAAAAAGUCUCUCGAAUCAGCGUUGAAAAUUUCUGACUUUGUGGAUUGAUAGGACAUCGUGGACUCGUUACCGCCCGGGUUGUUGGAGGGGCGCCCCGCUGGCAACUCUUUCUUGCUUACAUCUCAACAGUUGCAACAACUGCAGCAACAUCUACAAGCUGCGGCGGUGGCAAGUGCUAGUCAGCAACAUCAGC